rnacentral:rRNA from 1 species
ACAAGCGGUGAGUGCUUUGGGGUGGGGUGACUGCGUACCUUUUGUAUAAUGGGUCAGCGACUUAUAUUCUGUAGCAAGGUUAACCGUAUAGGGGAGCCGAAGGGAAACCGAGUCUUAACUGGGCGUUAAGUUGCAGGGUAUAGACCCGAAACCCGGUGAUCUAGCCAUGGGCAGGUUGAAGGUUGGGUAACACUAACUGGAGGACCGAACCGACUAAUGUUGAAAAAUUAGCGGAUGACUUGUGGCUGGGGGUGAAAGGCCAAUCAAACCGGGAGAUAGCUGGUUCUCCCCGAAAGCUAUUUAGGUAGCGCCUCGUGAACUCAUCUUCGGGGGUAGAGCACUGUUUCGGCUAGGGGGUCAUCCCGACUUACCAACCCGAUGCAAACUGCGAAUACCGAAGAAUGUUAUCACGGGAGACACACGGCGGGUGCUAACGUCCGUCGUGAAGAGGGAAACAACCCAGACCGCCAGCUAAGGUCCCAAAGUCACAGUUAAGUGGGAAACGAUGUGGGAAGGCUCAGACAGCCAGGAUGUUGGCUUAGAAGCAGCCAUCAUUUAAAGAAAGCGUAAUAGCUCACUGGUCGAGUCGGCCUGCGCGGAAGAUGUAACGGGGCUAAACUGUGCACCGAAGCUGCGGCAGCGACGCUUAUGCGUUGUUGGGUAGGGGAGCGUUCUGUAAGCCUGCGAAGGUGUCCUGUGAGGGAUGCUGGAGGUAUCAGAAGUGCGAAUGCUGACAUAAGUAACGAUAAUGCGGGUGAAAAGCCCGCUCGCCGGAAGACCAAGGGUUCCUGUCCAACGUUAAUCGGGGCAGGGUGAGUCGACCCCUAAGGCGAGGCCGAAAGGCGUAGUCGAUGGGAAACGGGUUAAUAUUCCCGUACUUGGUGUUACUGCGAAGGGGGGACGGAGAAGGCUAUGUUGGCCGGGCGACGGUUGUCCCGGUUUAAGCGUGUAGGCUGGUUUUCCAGGCAAAUCCGGAAAAUCAAGGCUGAGGCGUGAUGACGA